rnacentral:rRNA from 1 species
CUACGGGGGGCAGCAGUGAGGAAUAUUGGUCAAUGGGCUUACGCCUGAACCAGCCAAGUCGCGUGAGGGAAGACUGCCCUAUGGGUUGUAAACCUCUUUUGUCAGGGAGCAACGCCGGCUACGUGUAGCCGGACUGAGAGUACCUGAAGAAAAAGCAUCGGCUAACUCCGUGCCAGCAGCCGCGGUAAUACGGAGGAUGCGAGCGUUAUCCGGAUUUAUUGGGUGUAAAGGGUGCGUAGACGGGAAAUUAAGUUAGUUGUGAAAUCCCUCGGCUUAACUGAGGAACUGCAACUAAAACUGAUUUU